rnacentral:piRNA from 1 species
UAGAAUAGUGGGACUUUCAAGGCCGGGU